GCGCCCGUAGCUCAGUUGGAUAGAGCAUCGGACUUCUAAUCCGGCGGUCGGAGGUUCGAAUCCUCCCGGGCGCGC
rnacentral:tRNA from 2 species